rnacentral:rRNA from 1 species
ACGAACGCUGGCGGCGUGCUUAACACAUGCAAGUCGCACGCUGAAGCACCAGCUUGCUGGUGUGGAUGAGUGGCGAACGGGUGAGUAAUACGUGAGUAACCUGCCCUUGACUCUGGGAUAAGCCCGGGAAACUGGGUCUAAUACUGGAUGCUACAUGUCACCGCAUGGUGGUGUGUGGAAAGGGUUUACUGGUCUUGGAUGGGCUCACGGCCUAUCAGCUUGUUGGUGAGGUAAUGGCUCACCAAGGCGACGACGGGUAGCCGGCCUGAGAGGGUGACCGGCCACACUGGGACUGAGACACGGCCCAGACUCCUACGGGAGGCAGCAGUGGGGAAUAUUGCACAAUGGGCGAAAGCCUGAUGCAGCGACGCCGCGUGAGGGAUGACGGCCUUCGGGUUGUAAACCUCUUUCAGCAGGGAAGAAGCCACAAGUGACAGUACCUGCAGAAGAAGCGCCGGCUAACUACGUG